CAUGUUAGCUCUGCUUGUGCUGCUCUAUGACAGAACCUGUAGUCACCUUUCAGAGGUGAGUUCAGCGAGUGGUGAGAAUGAUUUAUCUUCUUUAUGAACCAAUAAUUAUGUGCAGCGUUUACAUCUCAACAUGCUGCCCAGCCUGUGGCUCUGUGUCUGGGCUAUAAAGUUUGUAUGUCUUCCUGGUUAGCCGGUGAGUUAACCACUAACGUUGUGGAGCUUUGCGCUCUCUUCAUAGUCAUUUUAAUUUAUUAUUUUUCCAGUUACACCCAAGGCUGGGCAAUAUGAGGAAAAUAUUUUUGCUAUAUCACGAUAAACAAUAUAUAUCAUGAUAUUCUUAAAUGAGCUUCAAAUGUUAUUUUAAACUAUACACUCCUUGCAGCAUGAUGUCACCAUGCAUGUUGCCGCCCCCAUUUUCGCUGGUGUAAAUUUUUACAAAAGGGGGCGCUGGGAUUACUUAGGGAGGCGUUUGGUCGAAGGUAAACUUUACAUUUUAAAUGCACAACAAUACCAGUUUAGACUUUGAGCAACUUGCUAAAACUGUAUUGUAGCAUUCAUUUUAUAGCGAUAACACCGGAGCUGUAAGUGGUCCGGUAUGAAACGGGUGUAAUAGAACAACGGAACCACAGCACUUUUACAUUUCAAUAAUCAGAAUACCGAAAUUGUUUCCGUUGUUUUAAAAGGUUUAUGUCAGUCUGCCUUUUCCCCAUCGAUACGCUUCCCGACCGCCCUGCACCUUAAGGGGUUAAAAAAAAAAAACGACGCGCAUAUUGCGCAAAACUCUAAAACAGGAGAAGCAGGACAUAAAACAAAGCGACUAGAUGUGAAUUAUGGCA